rnacentral:rRNA from 1 species
AACGAACGCUGGCGGCAGGCCUAACACAUGCAAGUCGAGCGAGACCUUCGGGUCUAGCGGCGGACGGGUGAGUAACGCGUGGGAACGUGCCCUUUGCUACGGAAUAGCCCCGGGAAACUGGGAGUAAUACCGUAUGUGCCCUUCGGGGGAAAGAUUUAUCGGCAAAGGAUGGGCCCGCGUUGGAUUAGGUAGUUGGUGGGGUAAUGGCCUACCAAGCCGACGAUCCAUAGCUGGUUUGAGAGGAUGUGCAGCCACACUGGGACUGAGACACGGCCCAGACUCCUACGGGAGGCAGCAGUGGGGAAUCUUAGACAAUGGGGGAAACCCUGAUCUAGCCAUGCCGCGUGAGCGAUGAAGGCCUUAGGGUUGUAAAGCUCUUUCAGGUGGGAAGAUAAUGACGGUACCACCAGAAGAAGCCCCGGCUAACUCCGUGCCAGCAGCCGCAGUAA